CUGGAGCCACCUGGGAGGGAUCAGAUUGUCACCAGAGCUUUGGGAGCUGUUCUUCCCCGCUGUCCCCGCUCUCAGUGUGCGUUUUCCUACACCCACAUCCCCACCCACCUCUCCCGGGGUUGGGGGACAGAGGAUUCCUGUAUAGCCCAGGGCAGGGGGGCAGGAAUGGGCUCAUUAAGCAGAAGUAACAAUUACAGCGGCGAAAUGAGCGGUGUGAAGGGAGAUAUGGAUCGGGAGUCAAAGCAAACACUGGAAUCGCAGUUUGGUAAAUAAAUCCUUCUCAUUCCCGAGGGUGUCUCACUUCCCUUACAUGUUGAAUGCCAUAUAAAUGUUCCCGAGGCUGUUAAGGCGCCUCAUUCAGUCGACCUUUACCUUCUAGAUGUGUUUCCGAUGGCUGAAGAGGCUCUACCACUAUCUGCGGCGCAAAUGGUCACGGCGGAACCGCGGCUACAGCCGGGAAAUCUCCCUGAGCCACCACGGCUUCUGCUCGGGCGCCUUCACCAACCGCCAUGGCCGUGCCUCCUUCUCAUGUGGUGGGGACAGUUCUGUCACCUACAGCCGGAGACCCUCGUCCUGCCCGCCCCUGCCAGCGCCAGCCCCCUACAGCAUCUCAGGGAGGUUCUCGUGUGACACCGACGGGUCCCUCGUGGUCAGCAGUGGGGACUGUGGGGUCACGUCUAGCUGGGACCCUGUGGUGAGGACAGUCCCGAUUUAUGGCUCUGGAAUGGGGAUGGAGUAUGGUGGUGAGGAUGUGGGGUCUGUUAUCAGCAGUGCAGGGGGAGGUGGAGGAUCUGUCUACCACGGAGGGAGUUCGAGAGUGGUGGAGGGAGCAGGGGCUGGGUAUGGAUACUCUGCACCCCUGAGUGACACCCUAAGCACUGGGGGGGUCUCUGAGGGCUCAGGGUACUAUGGAGGAGGGUAUGGAUAUGGGACAUAUGGAACAUAUGGGACUGGGAUGUUGCUGGGGCCAGAGAUCAGCCCUGUGGGCGCAGGAUGCGCCCAGGUGGUGCAGCAGAAAUGCCCCGUGGUCAUCCCCACCAUCAAGAGUGAGCAGUGCAAGCAGAGCACCCACUGGCCACCCAUCCAGAAGAAAUGA
rnacentral:lncRNA from 1 species